CCUACGGGAGGCAGCAGUGAGGAAUAUUGGUCAAUGGACGAGAGUCUGAACCAGCCAAGUAGCGUGAAGGAUGACUGCCCUAUGGGUUGUAAACUUCUUUUAUAUGGGAAUAAAAUGUUCCACGUGUGGGAUUUUGUAUGUACCAUACGAAUAAGGAUCGGCUAACUCCGUGCCAGCAGCCGCGGUAAUACGGAGGAUCCGAGCGUUAUCCGGAUUUAUUGGGUUUAAAGGGAGCGUAGGUGGAUUGUUAAGUCAGUUGUGAAAGUUUGCGGCUCAACCGUAAAAUUGCAGUUGAAACUGGCAGUCGUGAGUACAGUAGAGGUGGGCGGAAUUCGUGGUGUAGCGGUGAAAUGCUUAGAUAUCACGAAGAACUCCGAUUGCGAAGGCAGCUCACUGGACUGCAACUGACACUGAGGCUCGAAAGUGUGGGUAUCAAACAGGAUUAGAUACCCCAGUAGUC
rnacentral:rRNA from 1 species